GCCAAUCAUCCAUGAAACACUCACUGCCAUUGGACUUUGAAGAAGUGAAAGCAUAUUCUCUGAAGGUUUGAAUCAUGCUUCAACAGCUGGCAUCAGUUGCAAUGCCUAGUAGUACAGUGGGCCAGGGAAUAUCGCCUGUAUGAAGAAUGACAGAAGUCCCCCUAUCCUUGCAAACAUGCGUAGCAGGAUUGAAUCGCAUUAGAGCACCCUGUGAAUCUCCUUGCAUAUAGAUUAGACCUUGGAGGCAGGAAGUUUUAGUAUGCAGAACAUCGAGUUAAUCUCGAAUCC